rnacentral:rRNA from 1 species
AUUCCAGCUCCAAUAGCGUAUAUUAACGUUGUUGCAGUUAAAAGGCUCGUAGUCGAACCUAUGAUCUUAUAGAUUGAAACCUUCACCAAGCGUGAUGUGUGUUUAAUUCUAUUGGUCAUCCUUCUGGAAAAUGCCUCUGCACUUAAUUGUGUGGUACGUAGAGUCCAGAUCAUUUACUGUGAGUAAAUCAGAGUGUUUAAAGCAGGCUUUAUGCCUGAAUGUUCUAGCAUGGAAUAAUAAGAUAGGACUUUGGUUCUAUUUUGUUGGCUUCUAGGACUAAAGUAAUGAUUGAUAGGGAUAGUUGGGGGUGCUAGUAUUUAACGGUCAGCGGUGAAAUGCGUGGACCCGUUAAAGACUAACUUAUGCGAAAGCAUUCACCAAGGAUAUUUUCAUUA